GCCUUAGUGGUCCAGGGGUUAGGAUUCUUGCCUUCCAUGAUCGCAAUAAGCUCCAUUACUGCGACAGAUAGCAAGAGGCCCGUGUUCGAGUCACGGCUGAGGCA